rnacentral:rRNA from 1 species
UACGUAGGGUGCAAGCGUUGUCCGGAAUUAUUGGGCGGAAAGGGUGCGUAGGCGGUUUGGUAAGUCUUAUGUGAAAUCUACAGGCUCAACUUGUAGUCUGCAUGAGAAACUGCCGGGCUUGAGUAUGGGAGAGGUGAGUGGAAUUCCUGGUGUAGCGGUGAAAUGCGUAGAUAUCAGGAGGAACACCUGUGGCGAAAGCGGCCCACUGGACCAUAACUGACGCUGAUGCACGAAAGCUAGGGGAGCAAACAGG